rnacentral:misc_RNA from 1 species
GAUGAAGAACGUAGCGAAAUGCGAUAAGUAGUGUGAAUUGCAGAAUUCAGUGAAUCAUCGAAUCUUUGAACGCACAUUGCGCCCUUUGGUAUUCCUUAGGGCAUGCCUGUUCGAGCGUCAUUUAAACCUUCAAGCUAAGCUUGGUGUUGGGUGACUGUCCGCUUCACGGCGGACUCGCCUCAAAAUUAUUGGCGGCCGGUACAUUGGCUUCGAGCGCAGCAGAAACGCGAACUCGGGCCCGUCGUAUUGGCUCCCCGAAGCUAUCUUCACAAUUUUGACCUCGGAUCAGGUAGGGAUACCCGCUGAACUUAAGCAUAUCAAUAAGCGGAGGA